GGGGGUAUGGCUCAGUGGUAGAGUGCAUGCUUACUAUUAUUUUUGAGGUCCUAGGUUCAAUCCCCAGUACCCCAU
rnacentral:tRNA from 1 species